UUCGGAGCUCGGGGCGACCUUGCUAUGAUCUAAAAGCGUUUUGUUUAUUGACAAGCAACCCCUCUCUCGCUCGAUCUUCGCAACUCCCCCACAACCCUUCCCCCGUCAGCGAGGCGAGAGUGAGAGGCAGGCGCCCGUGGAGUAGUCCCAGCGAAGCGUGAAACCUACGAAAGUGGAAUCGACUCACAGCGCCAUCGUCCAGACAACCAGAGAAAACACAGCCCUUUAGUGAUCUCCCACUUAAACUAACCUGACAAAAUGCUGCUACAUGUUGCAUCACUUAGAUUAACUGACAAGAUUUCAUCAUGAAUAUUCCUCAGAGAAGGACGGGCUACUAAUUCCAGUGAUCGACCAUUGCGGCAGUAAGACCCGAUCAAUAAUCCAAAGUGUUUUAAAGUAAUAAUAAUUUCUUGCAUCAACUGAUUUCUGGCAAACAUCUCUCAACAUUUGACAUUUCUCGGCGAAUUGGAUUAUUUCCAUGCUGGCUGUUUUGGCUUUUUUUUGCAAAACAAAAGGUGCUCAAGGGGUUAAUAGCACUGCGGUUAUAUUUUUAAACGCGCGAACGCGCUUCCUUUUCACGCAGUGUGAACUUCUAUUUUUUACAGGAUCUUUUAUACUUGAAACACGAACUUUUUUGCCGAAAAGGGAAAGGAAAAAGGCCACUGAUAAAGCGCCAGAGGGUUGUUGGGUCCUGAGAACCUCUUGGAGCAAUAUCAGAAAUUGAGAUGAUUUUCCCCAUCGUCUGCAAUUGCCUUCCUUUGUACCAGAGAGAAAAAAAAGAAUUAAUUUCUUAUUUAGAUCAAGACAAACCAAGUAUAAGUGAUCCCCAAGGAUCAAAGAUGAAAUUCAAACAGCAUGAAAAAACACAACCAACACUGUUGAAGAAAUCAACAAAUUUCCUUCUGAGGCAGGAGGAGAAGAUGGUGGCGCGACGCAGCUCUCAGCGGCCGCUCCGGAGGAGAUAUCUGUUAUCUGUCAUUUAGGGGGCCGUGCACAAUCCUGAUUUGAUGGAGACAGACGUGGAAGCAUGGAGGAACAUCUGGUGAAACUUCUGAAAUGCCUGCUUCGUUGCCGCUGCUACUGUGUGAUCCAGAAUCUCCGGAGGGGAAGGCCCAGAGUCCUCGGCUUUGCUUGUUGCUCGGCGACCUGGGCGGGGUCGAAGCGCUUGGAAGAGAUGAUGCUCGGUGCUCGGUGUCGGAGGGCUGGUCAAAGGCCCGAAGUUUUCGGACGGACUCAAGAGUCGGCUGCGGUCGGGUGCUUCCAAUGCAUCGGCAAGUUUGCGGCACUUGGAGGUUCAUGGCAGGGAGAGUUUCUCCCUUCUACCAUCUGCGUGAGAUGUUGGGUCUAUCGGGACUUGAGAUUUUUUUUACUGUGCCCAUGGUCUGCUCUUUAUCAAAUUACGGUAUUGCUUUGCACUGUUGUAACUAUAUGUUAUAAUUAAGUGGUUUUGUCAGUUUUAGUCUUGGUCUGACUUGUGUUUCUGUGAUAUCUUUCUGGAGGAACAUUGUAUCAUUUUUUAAUGCAUGCAUUUCUAAAUGACAAUAAACGAGGACUGAGUGUCCUCAUAAUCUAAUCUAUACAGGAAAAUGAGAGAGAAAAAUCCAAAUGAAUAAAAGUUUAUUUAAAAGCAGUAUACUAAGCUAACUGGGGUGUUGCAGGCCUUGGUAGGAAGAGACAGCUGUGCCAAUGUUUAUGAUGGAAGACCAUCCCAAAAUUUAAAUAAGCUAUUUGCAAAGAUUUCUAAACAUCUUGGUCUGUAGUAUACUUAGUUUGACUACAGAAUCUGGUGUGGAAGUAGCUCUUAAAGGACGAGUUUUAUCUUGAAGGAAAAAUUGAAUAAUUCUUCAAAAUGGUCUUGUGGGAAUGUGCUCUUCUUGGAUGUUAUGGAUUUUGGAGGUGGUCCUGCUGGAGGUGUACCAAAGGAGAGAGUAUUACUAUUCGAGUUCAUGAUCAACCUUCACUAAACAACCAUGCCCAUAUACUAAUCCAGAUCCCUUCCACUCAGCUACGACAAAGCAUGAUGGAAUACAGUUAAUACACCUCACAUACCUGGAUGAGAUCAGCUCUAACGAAACUCAAGAAACCUGACAUCAUAGAGGACAAAGAAGCCCACUUGAUAGGCACCACUUCCACCCUAUUCCCUCCACUCACAGUGUGUUGUAGCUGCAGUACAUGCCUGCUAUAAAGUGCAACAAAGCCAUUUGCCUUAGCUACACUAAAGUCACAACCUCUACUACCUAGGUAAAGACCUGUAGUGCAGGGGAACUAAGUAAGGUUUCUCUUUAAGACACUAGCCAUCUUGAUAUCAUCACUAGGUCCACAUCCUAGAGCUCCUCAGCAUUUAACAGGAAGAUUGUAGCAUCUUAAAAAGGUAGAUUGCCAUUAGAUUCUCAAGGACAAUAAGGGAUGGGCAAUAAAUGCCGGCACCAUCAACAAAGUGCACAUGUUUUAACCAUAACCAUAUAACAAUUACAGCACAGAAACAGGCCAUCUCAGCCCUUCUAGUCCGUGCCGAACUCUUACUCUUACUCUCACCUAGUCCCACCGACCUGCAUUCAGCCCAUAACCCUCCAUUCCUUUCCUGUCCAUAUAUCUGUCCAAUUUAACUUUAAAUGACAACAUCGAACCUGCCUCAACCACUUCUGCUGGACGCUCAUUCCACUCAGCUACCACUCUCUGUGUAAAGAAGUUCCCCCUCAAGUUACCCUUAAACUUUUGCCCUUUAACUCUCAACUCAUGUCGUCUUGUUUGAAUCUCCCCCACUCUCAAUGGAAAAAGCCUAUAUACGUCAACUCAAUCUAUCCCCCUCAUAAGUCCCCCAUCAACCUUCUACGCUCCAAGGAAUAAAGACCUAAUGUGUUCAACAUGUUGAAAAAUAAAAUAAUAUAUGAAACAAUCCUGUUAUUGAUUUCUUUUCAGACUUAAAAAAAUCUGCAUUGAUUAUAAAGGAAAUCAAUUUCUUUAUUUCAAUCUCACUUAUCACAAAUCUGUAGUACCUUAAGACUUGAAAAUUUAACACACAGCGAUCACUAUUUCUCUUUGGCUACAGAAGAGGAAGAAGCCAAAAGUCCAUGAGCAAGACCUUAUUAGGGGAAUGGGCGUGGACAGGGCCAGUAGCUUUAA